rnacentral:rRNA from 1 species
GACAGAGGAGCCAAGCGUUGUCCGGAGUAACUGGGCGUAAAGCGCACGCAGGUGGUUCUGUGCGUGGGGUGUGAAAGCUCUCGGCUUAACUGAGAGAGGCCACCUCAUACGGCAGAACUGGAGCCCUGCAGAGGUCCACGGAAUUGCCGGUGUAGUGGUGAAAUGCGUAGAUAUCCGGAGGAACACCGGUGGCGAAGGCGGCUUCCUGGACUGACACUGACGCUGAGGCGCGAAAGCUAGGGGAGCAAACGGG